ACCCGUCUCUGAAGCCUCUGGCCUCCUGGGUGUCAGAUCUGCUCCAGAAGAUCAAUUUCCUGCACAGAUGGAUCUAUAAUGGCAUGCCACCUGUCUUCUGGAUAAGUGGCUUCUUUUUCCCCCUGGCUUUUCUCACCGGAACCCUCCAGAAUUAUGCCCGUCGCUCGGGCUUCUCCAUCGACACUAUUGGAUUUGACUUUGAGGGGAGACGUUGUAGUGAAGCCAGUGUCAGAGAUAACAGAGAAACCAAGCACAGGCUGCUAUAUCCACGGUCUAUUCCUGGAGGGUACUCGCUGGGAUAAGCAGGAAUGUCAACUCACGGAUUCCAGGCCCAAGGAGCUCUACACAGAAAUGUCGGUCACCGCUCAUCCCGGAACCUAACCGUAAACCUCCACCCACUGGGGUCUACGUGUGCCCCAUCUAUAAGACCCUCACACGUGCUGGGACUCUGUCUACAACCGGUCAUUCAACCAACUAUGUGAUUGCAGUGGAGCUGCCUACAGAUCAGAGUCAAUCAGAGUGCAUCAAACGGGGAGUGGCCCUCAUCUGUGCAUUGGACUACUAAACACAAAUACACACAUUUUUCCUUAAACAAGAAAAAACACCUGUGGUGACUGUGUCUUUAUUUUAAAGCCCACAUGGUAAAAAUGGGAAAUGGGCUUGAGUUGUAUAGCUCUUUUCUAGUAUUCUGACUACUCCAAGUGCUUUUACACUGCAUGUCACACCUACCCAUACACACACUGA